rnacentral:RNase_P_RNA from 1 species
AGGACAAGCCAGAAUGGUCGCUCCGACAUAUCGUCGGAGAGGAAAGUCCGAGCUCCAGAGGGCAACGUAGCGGCUAAUUACCGCCUCCGCCAUGUUUUGUGGCGGAAGGAUCAGAGCUACAGUGACGAACAACCCAGCACUUAAAUUUUAAGUGCUGGGUGAAGUGAAACGAGCAAUCUCUACGUGGAGCAAGGCCGAAUAGGAAGAGAGAAGUGCCCCUUCGCCUUAAUCUUCGGGUUGGCUGCUUAAGUCCCGCGGUAACGUUGGACUUUAGAGAAAUGACCGUGAUUCCCGCCUAAAUAAUCGGGAGGAUACAGAACUCGGCUUAUUGGCUUGUCCGACUA